CCCACCAGCCAGAGCCCAAGCGAAGGGCCCGUCCGCUUGACUACUGGCCAGCUGGGCCCGCCCUUCUUCUCCUCCGCCUCCUUCUUCCUCUUCCUUUCCUUUCGUUGCCUCUCUCUCUCUCUCUCAGCGCGGAAGCCGACUCUCGGCCGGCAAACGCGAGCUCAGCCCUUCGGCGCUGACAGCCGCCGCCUCAACUGUCAGCCCCCACCAACCCCUCGCUGACCGCCCAGAACCACCAUAUUGAAUCCGGAGAACCCAGACAACCGGGUAAACCUCGUCCCGGCAGCCUCCGCGGCUCGUCAUGUGACCUGGGCGUGUGAGGGAAGAGGCGAGGCUUCAGCCGCCCAGCGAGCGAGGAAGAGGCGGCGGUGGUGGGGACGGGGGAAACCAACCAAAUAAACGCGAAAGCGGGAAGACGCCAAGCAAAUAAAUAAGGGUUGCCCAAGGAUAGCUGCUCUGUACGCCGUAUGCCUUUAAGCGGGAGGGCGUGUCAGGCCAAGUCAUUGGGUAGCACCGUCAGGCCCCUGAGGCGAGGCGAAAAGGGGAAGUAGCUGCUCUUCCGCCAUUAGUGUUACUGAGACGCCAACGCCGUUAAGCUCCUCCUUCCCGCAGCCUCUACCUCAGCCUGAGGCGAAGAAGGGAAGGAAGGGAAACUGAGUUGUUCUGGUUCGCAUUUGUCCCGUCNNNNNNNNNNNUUCAAACCAACCCGAGCGUUACAGGAACGUGACAGGAAAGAAGCAACGGAGCGUUUGCUUUUCCCUUCACUCCUGCUGCCCAGCUUCCCUGUCAUUUCGGGCGAAAAGAGGAAGGUUGUUAAAACUGAAGGCAGACGCUGUCUUGUCGAUCUUCGUAACUUGCCUUGGGAGCCUCCUUUUGGCAGACUGCAUGGCGGGGUGAAAAGACUUUAAAUAAAUAACAGGAUUCUGGACAGAGGACACUUCCUCAAGAGUGUAUGCUUGCUCUUAGAACCACACUAUUUAAUGACUCUGGAUGAAAUUUUGAGGGCAAGAAGUAACAUUUACGCAAAAACAGAAGAAGGCAAUGGCGGUGCUCCAGAUGUUGCAAGAGUGUCCCAUCAGCCGGACCCAGUUGAAUUUAAAAGAGUACGUAUUUAUGUCUGUGUUCAUAAUUUUUCCCCCGAACUGGUAUGAUAGCUUUUUGAUCUUCUGUUCUUAAAUGAAAAAGAAAAAGGUUCAUUUUUAUAUUUCCAUUGCCUUAAAUUUAAACAUUCUUAAUAUCCUGUUUUGAAGAGCAGGUUGGCGUAAUGGAAACGGAAAAGAAACAAAACCUGGAAGCAAAACAAACAAAUAAAUCCCUAGUGACCCAGCCUAUUUAAUGGGCA
rnacentral:lncRNA from 1 species